UAUUUAAGGGAAAACUUCAAAACAUCCCCUGUAGUUUCGUAGUUUUUCACUUUACUUUUCUAUUGUUUAAAAUAUAUCAAAUUACUCCCAUGUAGUUUCGUUUUUAUCUUUUCGAUAACUUUUUCGUUAAUAUUUCAUUAAAUUAUAUACAAAAAACUUCAGAUAUCCAUCUAGAUUUAUCAAAUAUUCACUUUAGUACCCUUUAAAUUAACUUUAUUAAUGAUUUAAGAAAAAAAAAUAAUGAAAUUGAUAAGAAAAAGAGAAAAAAGAAACCACAGAGGAGCAAAUUGAUACAUUUUAAAUCACAGGGGGGUAAAGUGAGAAACUAUGAAACCACAGGGGUUUUUUUUUAAGUUUU
rnacentral:lncRNA from 1 species